GUGAGUAACGCGUGAGAAUCUGGCUCCAGGUCGGGGAUAACAGUUGGAAACGACUGCUAAUACCGGAUGUGCCGAGAGGUGAAAGAUUUAUCGCCUGGAGAUGAGCUCGCGUCUGAUUAGCUAGUUGGCGGUGUAAGGGACCACCAAGGCGUCGAUCAGUAGCUGGUCUGAGAGGAUGAUCAGCCACACUGGGACUGAGACACGGCCCAGACUCCUACGGGAGGCAGCAGUGGGGAAUUUUCCGCAAUGGGCGAAAGCCUGACGGAGCAAUACCGCGUGAGGGAGGAAGGCUCUUGGGUCGUAAACCUCUUUUCUCAAGGAAGAAGAAAGUGACGGUACUUGAGGAAUAAGCAUCGGCUAACUCCGUGCCAGCAGCCGCGGUAAUACGGAGGAUGCAAGCGUUAUCCGGAAUGAUUGGGCGUAAAGGGUCUGCAGGUGGAACUGAAAGUCUGCUGUUAAAGAGUUUGGCUUACCCAAAUAAAAGCGGUGAAAACUACAGAACUAGAGUGCGGUAGGGGCAAAAGGAAUUCCUGGUGUAGCGGUGAAAUGCGUAGAUAUCAGGAAGACACCGGUGGCGAAAGCGUUUUGCUAGACCGUACUGACACUGAGGGACGAAAGCUAGGGGAGCGAAUGGAUUAGAUACCCUGUAGUCCUAGCCGUAAACGAUGGAUACUAGCGUGCUUGUAUCGACCCGAGCCGUGCCGAAGCCAACGCGUUAAGUGUUCCGCCUGGGGAGUACGCACGCAAGUGUGAAACUCAAAGGAAUUGACGGGGGCCCGCACAAGCGGUGGAGUAUGUGGUUUAAUUCGAUGCAACGCGAAGAACCUUACCAGGGUUUGACAUCCUGCGAAUCCCUUGGAAACGAGGGAGUGCCUUCGGGAACGCAGUGACAGGUGGUGCAUGGCUGUCGUCAGCUCGUGUCGUGAGAUGUUGGGUUAAGUCCCGCAACGAGCGCAACCCACGUCUUUAGUUGCCAGCAUUAAGUUGGGCACUCUAGAGAGACUGCCGGUGAUAAACCGGAGGAAGGUGUGGAUGACGUCAAGUCAUCAUGCCCCUUACAUCCUGGGCUACACACGUACUACAAUGCUACGGACAAAGGGCAGCAAACUCGCGAGAGCUAGCAAAUCCCAUAAACCGUGGCUCAGUUCAGAUCGUAGGCUGCAACUCGCCUACGUGAAGGAGGAAUCGCUAGUAAUCGCAGGUCAGCAUACUGCGGUGAAUACGUUCCCGGGCCUUGUACACACCGCCCGUCACACCA
rnacentral:rRNA from 1 species